AGCGAACGCUGGCGGCAGGCUUAUCACAUGCAAGUCGAGCGGGCCCUUCGGGGUCAGCGGCGGACGGGUGAGUAACGCGUGGGAACGUGCCUUCUGGUUCGGAAUAACCCUGGGAAGCUAGGGCUAAUACCGGAUACGCCCUUUUGGGGAAAGGUUUACUGCCGGAAGAUCGGCCCGCGUCUGAUUAGCUAGUUGGUGGGGUAACGGCCUACCAAGGCGACGAUCAGUAGCUGGUCUGAGAGGAUGAUCAGCCACACUGGGACUGAGACACGGCCCAGACUCCUACGGGAGGCAGCAGUGGGGAAUAUUGGACAAUGGGCGCAAGCCUGAUCCAGCCAUGCCGCGUGAGUGAUGAAGGCCUUAGGGUUGUAAAGCUCUUUUAUCCGGGACGAUAAUGACGGUACCGGAGGAAUAAGCCCCGGCUAACUUCGUGCCAGCCGCCGCGGUAAAAC
rnacentral:rRNA from 1 species